GUCGAGCGGUAGCACAGAGAAGCUUGCUUCUUGGGUGACGAGCGGCGGACGGGUGAGUAACGCGUAGGAAUCUACCUAAUGGUGGGGGAUAGCCCAGGGAAACUUGGAUUAAUACCGCAUAAGUCCUAAGGGAGAAAGCGGGGGAUCUUCGGACCUCGUGCCAUUAGAUGAGCCUGCGUAAGAUUAGCUAGUUGGUGAGGUAAGAGCUCACCAAGGCGACGAUCUUUAGCUGGUCUGAGAGGAUGAUCAGCCACACUGGGACUGAGACACGGCCCAGACUCCUACGGGAGGCAGCAGUGGGGAAUAUUGGACAAUGGGCGAAAGCCUGAUCCAGCAAUGCCGCGUGUGUGAAGAAGGCCUGCGGGUUGUAAAGCACUUUCAGUUGGGAAGAUGAUGACGUUACCAACAGAAGAAGCACCGGCUAAAUCCGUGCCAGCAGCCGCGGUAAUACGGAUGGUGCGAGCGUUAAUCGGAAUUACUGGGCGUAAAGCGCGCGUAGGCGGCUAAGUCAGUCAGAAGUGAAAGCCCCGGGCUCAACCUGGGAAUUGCUUUUGAUACUGCUUGGCUAGAGUUUGGUAGAGGAUAGUGGAAUUCCAGGUGUAGCGGUGAAAUGCGUAGAUAUCUGGAGGAACAUCAGUGGCGAAGGCGACUGUCUGGACCAAAACUGACGCUGAGGUGCGAAAGCGUGGGUAGCAAACAGGAUUAGAUACCCUGGUAGA
rnacentral:rRNA from 1 species